rnacentral:rRNA from 1 species
AUGUGGCUUAUUCGACGCAACGCGAAGAACCUUACCAAGGCUUGACAUGCAGGGAAAUCCUCCAGAGAUGGGGGGUCCGCAAGGGUCCUGCACAGGUGGUGCAUGGUUGUCGUCAGCUCGUGUCGUGAGAUGUUGGGUUAAGUCCCGCAACGAGCGCAACCCUCGUUCUAUGUUGCCAGCGCGUGAUGGCGGGGACUCAUAGGAGACUGCCGGGGUCAACUCGGA